ensembl:snRNA LOC120095803 U4 spliceosomal RNA
AGCUUUGCACAGUGGCAGUAUCAUAGCCAGUGAGGUUUAUCCAAGGUGCGAUUGUUGCUAAUUGGAAAAAAAAAUCCAACUUGUUUCCAGCCUGGUUCUCCUAUUGGAAGGAAGCCUCUGGGUUUCCCCUUGUAAAGAUAAGUAACACAGGGG